rnacentral:RNase_P_RNA from 2 species
GCAAGCUAAAGACAGUUACUGGUUUUUUACUAAGGAAACUCCAUCCAUCAUUACAGAACUAUAAUGUUUUAAAUGCAUAUGCUGAGAAGCAUGACCCUGAAGCAGAAACGAUACGUCUUUUAAUGGAUGAAUAUGAUGUUUAACUGAUGACAUUAAAAGUAAACGGUGAAACGGUCAGUCUAUAGGAUGCAAGGAUAAAUUUGCUUAUGACAGCUGUAUGAGGCAAGGUAAUUCGCGAAGAUGAAUACUGUUAAACAGAAGGUGGGUUACUCUUAGCAGGC